GGUUGCGAUCAUACCAGCACUAAUGCACCGGAUCCCAUUAGAACUCCACAGUUAAGCGUGCUUGGGUGAGAGUAGUACUAGGAAAUGUGACCUCCUAGGAAAUUCUCGUGUUGCACCCC
rnacentral:rRNA from 1 species